UACGGGGGGGGGCAAGCGUUGUUCGGAAUUACUGGGCGUAAAGGGCUCGUAGGUGGCCAACUAAGUCAUACGUGAAAUCCCUCGGCUUAACCGGGGAACUGCGUCUGAUACUGGAUGGCUUGAGGUUGGGGAGAGGGAUGCGGAAUUCCAGGUGUAGCGGUGAAAUGCGUAGAUAUCUGGAGGAACACCGGUGGGCGAAGGCGGCAUCCUGGACCAAUUCUGACACUGAGGAGCGAAAGCCAGGGGAGCAAACGGG
rnacentral:rRNA from 1 species